rnacentral:lncRNA from 1 species
GGGGGUGUUUGGGAUUCCUAUUAAAAGUGACUUUUUGGAGCAAAAAGGACUUCUGAGAAAAGAAGGAACCCCAAACAUCAUCUGAGAAGUUCUUCUGAAGCAAAAGGAAUCCCAAACAUAAUGAAAAUAAGGACUUUCAGAGUUAAUUUUGUCUUCAAAAAAGAGUUUUUGAGAAGUUUGGAUUUCUUACUUCUGGAUCUUGAGAAGGACUUUUGAGAAGGAGAAGUUAAAAAGGAAUCCCAAACACCCCCAUAGAGAAAACAAUACCCACAAACACAACUCUGAUUUCUCUCUUCCUCAUCUCUCUUCCUUAUCUCUCCCUCAACCACACCAGUACCGCCACCGCCACCACCGUCACCAUCGCACCACCACCAUCUGUUCCCGUGCUCUGUGCUACUAUUUAAUUCAUACAUAGAUUCAUUCCCAAAAUGGCAACUUUAUAACCAGCCCAACUCGAUUUGGAAGCUAAAGACCACUCCCGCCGUCAUUCCACCGCGGCCAACAUUGAGAUUGUAGGGGCGGUGGUAUCUGAUGAGGAGGAGAAAGGGAGGGAAUCCACGGUGUUAGAUUUCUCGAUUGUGGAUCUAGAAAGUGGUGGUGGUGCGGCCCACAAUGAUAGGGUACAUUGGUCAAAGAUUGAAGGGGAUUGUAGGAUUUGUCAUUUGAGUAUUGAUUUAACCAAUCAAGAUUCUAAGAAUGGGAGUCCUAUUGAGUUGGGUUGUUCUUGUAAAGAUGAUUUAGCUGCUGCUCAUAAACAUUGUGCUGAAGCUUGGUUCAAGAUUAAGGGUAAUAAUCAACGUCCAUAUGUUUAGGGCGGUGACUGGUGGUUGACGGUCAACAGAAGAUGGUGAUAGUUAUGGAGGUGCGGUGGGAAUGGUGGUGGUGCGGUGGUGUUAAUGGUGGUGGUAGGGGUAGAGAGAAAGAGAGAAGGGAUGGACAGUUGUGUGAAAUGUCUAUGUGUGUAUAACAAUAUAUAUAAUAUUAAAAUAUUUAUGCAUUAAAGACUUGUUUCUUAUACUUUUGUGCAUAUAAGACUUGUACUUUGUGUGUAAAUGACCAAAUUACCCUU